UGGGGAAUAUUGGACAAUGGGCGCAAGCCUGAUCCAGCAAUGCCGCGUGAGUGAUGAAGGCCCUCGGGUUGUAAAGCUCUGUCGGGAGGGACGAAUAUGCUGGUGUAACAUCCAGUUCUGACGGUACCUCCAAAGGAAGCACCGGCUAACUCUGUGCCAGCAGCCGCGGUAAUACAGAGGGUGCAAGCGUUGUUCGGAAUUACUGGGCGUAAAGCGCGUGUAGGCGGUGUCGUAAGUCGGAUGUGAAAUCCCUCAGCUCAACUGAGGAAGUGCACCCGAUACUGCGGCACUUGAGUGUCGGAGGGGAUGGCGGAAUUCCCGGUGUAGAGGUGAAAUUCGUAGAUAUCGGGAGGAACACCUGUGGCGAAGGCGGCCAUCUGGACGAUAACUGACGCUGAGACGCGAAAGCGUGGGUAGCAAACAGG
rnacentral:rRNA from 1 species